rnacentral:rRNA from 1 species
CCUACGGGGGGCUGCAGUGAGGAAUAUUGGUCAAUGGACGCAAGUCUGAACCAGCCAUGCCGCGUGCAGGAUGACGGCUCUAUGAGUUGUAAACUGCUUUUGUACGAGGGUAAACCCCGAUACGUGUAUCGUUUUGAAAGUAUCUUAUGAAUAAGGAUCGGCUAACUCCGUGCCAGCAGCCGCGGUAAUACGGAGGAUCCGAGCGUUAUCCGGAUUUAUUGGGUUUAAAGGGUGCGUAGACGGUUUGAUAAGUCAGAGGUGAAAGUUCGGGGCUCAACCCCGAAACUGCCACUAAUACUGUUGGACUAGAGAAUAGUUGAGGUAGGCGGAAUGUAUGGUGUAGCGGUGAAAUGCUUAGAGAUCAUAAAGAACCCCGAUUGCGAAGGCAGCUUACUAAACUAUAACUGACAUUGAGGCACGAAAGCGUGGGUAGCAAACAGGAUUAGAUACCCGAGUAGUC